rnacentral:lncRNA from 1 species
AUGGAAAAUCGUCAGGGAUACACAGAAACAAACGUGCGCUCCGGGGUUGAUAACAGCGACAGAAAAUGCCGAAACGGGAGUCAGGAGGACUCCGCAGCUCAGCGCUGGCCGGGCGCGAGCGCAUCCGGCCAUGGGAAAGAGCCGACACUUCCUCGGCCCAGGAGGGGAACAGCCUUGAGCAAAACACAUUUGGGUGGCGCUCCGGAUGUCCUGAAGCCAUCUUGCCCAGGGAACUGGUUUCAGAUGGUGUCUUAGAGUCUAAAGUUCCAUCUAGCACCAUUUGAAAUCGGUGUCCCUGAGCAGGAACAAACCUCUGGACUGAUGUUCGUCAUUUGGAAACACUGUUUUCAGAUUGAUGACGACGAUGGAGGUCUUCACCAUUUUACAGUAACCCAGCGUUGGAGCCCGUUCUUCUGACCCUUUGACCCCCUCCACCAAGGCUGACCGUUUUCGUGUGGUGUUCAGAGGUUCCAUCAUGUCUAGCACCAUUUGAAAUCGGUUAGAAUGUGGAGGGACAAUCAGCUGCACAAUACAACUCCUCAAAGCGCCAGAAGAUGGCAGCAUUGCGGCAUGUCCAGUUAUCCAGGCUGCCUAGUUGGGCUGAGUGGAAGCUUCAUGAAAGAUUGUGUGCAGGUGCAAACAAAGCUUUGGAGAAAAGUUCAACCUUUUGCCAACAUUUUUCAGAUUCCUACUCCACCAUGUUGUUACUCAGCCGUAAUGCCUGUGGAGCAGAUCAUCUGGUAGAUGCUGCAGCGGUCUGGAGGUUGUGGUAUUGAGCAUGUGUGGCAUCUCUACAUAUGGAAUGCCUGUGUACAUGGAAAAUGUCAAAACAUUGGAGAUUUAAAUAAAAGAUUAAAGCUCUGUAUGCUUUUAGUUGAUUCUGAUUUAUUUUCUAUUAUCUUAUGUACUGAAUAACGUGUUUGACUCUUGAUGAAUUGUUGUGAACAUUCUGCAUCUAAUUUAAUCCAUCUUUAGUUUUAAUGGUCGGAUUAGUUUUGAAUUAAAAGUGUUUAACUUCAUCCAACGCCUUUUCGAAUGCUGAAAUAUUUAAUUCAAUUGUUUUCAAAUUUUCAGCUGUGUCGAUUUUUGAUUAGAUUUUUUAUUUAAAAACAAAGAAAAAUAAUUAAAAUUAAAUGAAAUAAAUACAUUUGAGAAUUUGAUUUACUUAAAUAACAAUUUGAAUGACUAAUGUGAAUGGAAUAUUUGAUUUAGUUUCUGCUUUAGCAGUAUUUUAUACAUUCUUGUAUAAAAAGCAUCAGAAACAAUUAGGAACAAGAGAAAGAAAUGAAUGUUUUUUUUAUGUGAGGCUGUAAAUAUGUUGAUUUAAGCAGAAUAAAUUUAAGUUUUUGAUAAUUCCAGUAAGCAAUGCUUUGAUGCUUUACUCCCAGACACAGUCAUAAUCUAUUUACUGUAAUUGUAGUGUUAGAUAAACUGGAUACUUAUAUCAGUAUGUAUAUUUUAACUACUUGAGACCAAGAAGCUGUGAUACUCUUAUUUAAAUAUAGAAUAUCACCUUGCCUGGUCUUUAUUUGUAUUAGUCAGAAGAUUCUAGGAUUCUUUUAUUCAUUAGGGAAUCGUACACACUUCGCUUUGAUUCAAGAAACAGUCAGGUUUAAAAAAAAUUAAGAAUUUAUUUUAUAAUUAGGACUUGACAAAUUGUUUAAACUACUAUUUACAGUGAGUGGAUGCGAACUAAAGGAUGGUGUCUGGGACUUAUGUGUAAAUAUAAUGUAAUCAGAAUCUCCGUAUCUCAGAGAGCAGAGUCCUGGAUUUAAAAGAUUUUGGUUUGCAAAUAAGCUAAGUUUUCUUAUUAAAAACAUAAAGACGCAAUCUGUCUGAAGUGUCUACCUCACCUGUUCUGGAGACCCCCGUCUGGAUCCGAGAUGUCAGGAGGAGUGAUGACCCCAAGCACGAGAUGGGCAGAGAAAACUUAGUGCGACCAGGUCGGUCCUGAGAUGUCUCCGGGUCACAACGACUGAUGAAACUGGUUGUGUCUUAAAAAUAACUGAAGGAGUUUUGCAAUAUCAGCUUUGUUCUGCAGGAAACUUAUCAGCUCGCAGGUGCGUAAAAGGUUCAAGAAGGUUUUGACGACGUGUUAAAAUCCUUGCUGGUUAAAGAGGUUUGCUAAAGAUGGCCGGUCUGAAGCUUGCUUUCGAACUGACAAAUUACUCAAAGCCAUCUAGUUUUAAGUAAUCGAUAUUAUGGUUUGGCCAGCCAAUCGGGCUGACAAGUUUGAGAGAUGUUGCCAAGAAUCUCAGAAACACACCCUCUUUGAUCUGGAGACUGAAUCUGGGCAAAAGGUUAACUGUGUCAUGCGUUAACAUUACUCUGUGUGAGUGCAGAUGUUAUGACUAUCAAGUAAACAUACUAAAACAAUCAUUGAGCAAACAAUGAAACAUUUCAUUAUUUAUAAUUAUAAGUAGCAAAGUAACAAAGGUUUAUUUAAUGAUUAUCUAGCUUGUAAUUUUUAGAAGUUCAUAUUUAAUUUUAAAAAUCUCUUCUGUGAGCGAGGAGACUUAGAUAAAAGAGUUCUGUGAGGAACCUUGGGAAAGAAAGUUAUUGCUCAUCUUUCAUUAUCUCUGCUUUCAGUCUCCCGUGAGCAAAAUAUUGCAGGCUGUGUCAUAGCCAGGUUAAGUUGACCUGGCUGUGGAUUUGACCUGUGGGUCAAAAUCAGGCCAUUUCGUGACGUUACAUAAUUAAACCAAUGUAAUUUUGAAUAUAUGAUUAAAAUAGUUCAAAUGCAUUCAUUAUGACAGUUUGAUUUUAUUUUUCUAAAUUUGCCCCCUUUGUCACCAGCUGGGAUGAGAAUCAGCUCCUCUAAAUGCGAGACCAUGGUCUUGAAUCGGAAAAGGGUAGAAAGUCUUCUCCGGGUCAGGGACGAGGUCCUACCUCAAGUGGAGGAGUUUAAGUAUAUUGGGAUCUUGUUCAUGAGUGAGGGAAAGCUGGAGUGGGAGAUAAACAGGUGUAUUGUUGCUGCGUCUGCAGUGAUGCGGGCGCUGUACUGAUAUGUCGUGGUGAAAAGAGAGCUGAGCCGGAAGGUGAAGCUCGCGAUUCAUCGACCGAUACGUUCCUACCUUCAUCUUUGGGUAAAGACCAAAACAACGAGAUUGCGGAUACAAGCGGCUGAAAUUAGUUUUUUCUAAAGGGGGUCUGGGCUCUCCCAUAGAGAUGGGGUGAGAAGCUCGGCCAUCUGGGAGGAGCUCGGAGUAGAUCCGCUGCUCCUCCACAUCAAGAAGAGCCAGUUGAGGUGGCUCGGGCAUCUGGUUAGGAUGCCUCCUGGAUGCUUCCCUGGUGGGGUUUUCCGAGUAUGUCCAACUGGGAGGAGACCCAGGACACGCUGGAGAGACGAUGUCACUCGGCUGGCCUGGGGAGAGGGAAGUCUGGGCAUCUCUGCUUAGGCAGAGACCUGACCCCCAUAAGCAGACUAAAAUGGAUGGAUGGAUAUAUUUUACGUAUUAGACAGUAAAAAUCUGGAUAAAUAGAGAAACACUUAAGAACCUGAAUUAUUUAAAUAAUACUAUUUUUGUUCAUAUACUGUCAUAAUGCACCUAUUUAAAGCUGUACUUCAAUGAGGUUCAUUCAAGUGGCUUUUUGGGGUUUAAUUAGCAAAAAAUACAGGAAGUUUUUCUGAUUGUUCAAUUUUCUGUGUCUGUGCUUUAAGAGUUUACUUUUCAGGGGAAAAAAAUCACACUAACAGCCAAAAUGUGUCCUUAACGAUUAGAAAUUGUUGUAUAUUUUCUUAUGUGCGUCACAAUAAAUCCUUGAUUUUACACAUAUGCUGAAAUGAGCUAGAUAAUUAGUUUCAGAUGCAGUACCACCCAACUCACUUUUCUGAGUCGUUGAUGAUAACUUUGUCCGAUCUGCUGUUACAAAUCUGUCACCACUCAUAACAUCACUCGACUCUUGUGGCCCUGCCGGCUACCGAACACAUCCCCUUACAUCUUUUUGUGUUGUAGUGCAGGUUUUUAAAGCUACCUGUUCUGUCUCAUAAGAUUGAUGUUGCACUGAAAUGACUUAAAACACCAGAGCGUCAUGCUUAAAGGGACUAAACCCACAAGAUCUUAUUUUAAUGUGCAGAAAAAUGACAGGGAGUGUGUUUCUAUAUCAACAAAACGUAAACACUGGUAAUCUAUUAAUAAUCUCAGCAAAGAUGAGUCAUAGGGAGUGUCUUAAGACAACAUGAGCUCAUCAGCAGCAUCAGAGAUCUGCAGUUGUACCAGUCUCUGUAUUGGGUUGUUGGCUGAUACUUUGUUUUAUUCUUAUUUCUUUGAAGACAACACAGAAAUAGGUUAGGUUCAGCCUUCCAGAACAUCUGAUCUGGCAGGAGAAACUCAGCACAGCCGCUGAAAGUACAGGUGGGUCCUUAAUCCUAACCCUAACCCAACAAUCAUGUAGAAAUAAACAUCUUAGCUGAACUUAAAAGUAUUGAAAAGUGAUUGUAAAUCAUUUGAUGUGUGAUAGGUUACUGUUAGUGUAUUUUACACUGAUGUCAUUGCAUCAGUUUAAUACUUUAUAUUACAGUAGGGGCACGAAAAGUUCAAUAAUAUUCAAAUUUGCUGCGUGUUUUUACACCUGCAUUAACUUUAGUGUGAUCAGAUGCAUUGUAAUUAAGUAAGUAAGUAAGUAAGUAAAAGUUUAUUUAUAUAGCGCCUUUCACAUAUAUAAAUUACAAAGCGCUGUACAACAUGAUAAAGAUCAGGGCAAAUACCUCUAACCAAUAAAAACAUCAGAAAAACAAUAGCAGUGAUAAACGUAGAAAAUAAAAUCAUGAGUAUAAACAAAGUGAAGGUGUGAACCCGAACAAAGCCAUCUUUUUGAAACAUUUAGGGAGGGAACGCCUGGAUGAAAAGGUGAGUUUUUAGAUUAUUUUUAAAGACCUCUACAGUGUCAGAGAGACGGAGAUUUGAAGGUAGACUGUUCCAAAGUCUGGGUGCAAUAGUCUGAAAGGCCCUGUCCCCUUUGGUCUUCAGCCUGGUUCGAGGAACAGCCAGGAGGUUUUCAGAUGUGGAUCUAAGGUUCUGAGAGGUGGUGUCCAAGUCCAUCCAUCCAUCCAUCCAUCUUUCCGUUCAUUUUCUUCCACUUUUCUGGGGUUGGGUCACGGUGGCAGCAUCUAAAGAAGAGAGGCCCAGACUUCCCUCUCCCCAGCCGCUUGGGCCAGCUCCUCCCAGGGCAGCCAAGGUGUUCCCUGGCCAGCUG